GACGUAGGGUCCAAGCGUUGUCCGGAUUUACUGGGCGUAAAGAGCGCGCAGGCGGUCGUUCAAGUCGCGUGUGAAAGCCCCCGGCUCAACUGGGGAGGGUCACGCGAUACUGAUCGACUCGAAGGCAGGAGAGGGUAGUGGAAUUCCCGGUGUAGUGGUGAAAUGCGUAGAUAUCGGGAGGAACACCAGUGGCGAAGGCGACUACCUGGCCUGUUCUUGACGCUGAGGCGCGAAAGCUGGGGGAGCAAACGGG
rnacentral:rRNA from 1 species